AUGGUUCUGAAGAAGGAAUGGCAAGAUCUUCCUGAAAGCAUUCAGGAAAUUGGAUUUUCACACUUGCUAAACUGGGGGAAAGGAAGAAGGAGAACAAAUUACUUCCAGCUGCUUUACUUCCUCAGCUCACACCAACUGUUAGAACUAAGUGCAGAGCGAAGUGUUGACAGAUUUCUGGAGAUUGUCAGUCUGUGGAAAAAGGACAACCUGGAACCUUCCUGUCUUAACUUUCUCCUCCAUGCUGUCCGGGUCUCAGCACUGCAGCCAUUUGAUCGUAGAUCUUAACCGACGAAAUGAGUCUGAGCAAAAGCUUAGAACAAACAGCUGGAUCUUGGAAUAACUGGUUUGAAGCUACAGAUACACAUCAAGGGUGCCCUUUGUUAUUUGCUAAUGAAGCCGAGGUUUGAACUUCCUGGAGAAUCAGUUCAAUGUGAACACAAGGAUUAAAUAGCCCUGACUCUAGUCAAAAAGAAGAAAAAGAGUAUGGAAGCAAUCAUAUCUGUAACACAUUCACAGUUGUUCUUAAUCUGGACUGAGCAUUUUUAUAGCCUGAAGAUCUUUUGAAAUAUAACCUUGUCCUUAGCCAAUUUUAUUUACUCUAUCUGGGUUGGUGCCAGAGACUCUAAAGAGCAACCAGGUUGAGAACCUCUGCCAGUGACUAGAUAAGUAAUGAUGCAACUUCAGUGGAAAAUACAGAAUGAGGAUUGUAUGCAUUUUAUGAGGUAUAAACUCCUACAGUUGAGCUGUUAAAAUGUUCUUCUUCCAAGUCAGUUCUGAAUUAUCCAUGCAAAUGAAAGGGCCAGUGAACCAGAAAAUACGUGAGCUGAUAAAACAAACCAACAAUAAAAUUUAAAUUUGACUUUCUUGGUCAAAUUCAGGAUUCAGAAAAUGAAUGAACGCUUAGUAUAAACAAGACACUGCACUAGGAGCUGUGAGGGUUACACAUGAAUAACACAUAGUUGCUAUUUUAAAGAAAGUCAAGUUCACUCAUUCACGCAUGUGCUAAGAGCUGAGUUCUGUUCUGGGCUUCAGAUUAGAAGCAGUAGAGACAACAAACACAUUUCCUG
ensembl:lincRNA